UACGUAGGGCGCAAGCGUUGUCCGGAAUUAUUGGGCGUAAAGAGCUCGUAGGCGGCUUGUCACGUCGGGUGUGAAAGCCCGGGGCUUAACCCCGGGUCUGCAUCCGAUACGGGCAGGCUAGAGUGUGGUAGGGGAGAUCGGAAUUCCUGGUGUAGCGGUGAAAUGCGCAGAUAUCAGGAGGAACACCGGUGGCGAAGGCGGAUCUCUGGGCCAUUACUGACGCUGAGGAGCGAAAGCGUGGGGAGCAAACAGG
rnacentral:rRNA from 1 species